rnacentral:rRNA from 1 species
UACGUAGGGUGCGAGCGUUAAUCGGAAUUACUGGGCGUAAAGCGUGCGCAGGCGGUUUUGUAAGCCAGAUGUGAAAGCCCCGGGCUCAACCUGGGAAUGGCAUUUGGGACUGCAAGGCUUGAGUGCGGCAGAGGAGACUGGAAUUCCUGGUGUAGCAGUGAAAUGCGUAGAUAUCAGGAGGAAUACCGAUGGCGAAGGCAGGUCUCUGGGCUGACACUGACGCUCAUGCACGGAAAGCGUGGGGAGCAAACAGG